UACGAAGGGUGCAAGCGUUAAUCGGAAUUACUGGGCGUAAAGGGUGCGUAGGCGGUUGUUUAAGUCUGUCGUGAAAUCCCCGGGCUCAACCUGGGAAUGGCGAUGGAAACUGGGCAGCUAGAGUGUGUCAGAGGAUGGUGGAAUUCCCAGUGUAGCGGUGAAAUGCGUAGAGAUCGGGAAGAACAUCAGUGGCGAAGGCGGUCUGCUGGGCCGUUGCUGACGCUGAGGCGCGACAGCGUGGGGAGCAAACAGG
rnacentral:rRNA from 1 species